rnacentral:rRNA from 1 species
AUUGAACGCUGGCGGCAGGCCUAACACAUGCAAGUCGAACGGUAACAGGAAGCAGCUUGCUGCUUUGCUGACGAGUGGCGGACGGGUGAGUAAUGUCUGGGCAACUGCCUGAUGGAGGGGGAUAACUACUGGAAACGGUAGCUAAUACCGCAUAACGUCGCAAGACCAAAGAGGGGGACCUUCGGGCCUCUUGCCAUCGGAUGUGCCCAGAUGGGAUUAGCUGGUAGGUGGGGUAACGGCUCACCUAGGCGACGAUCCCUAGCUGGUCUGAGAGGAUGACCGGCGACACUGGAAGGGAGACACGGUCCAGACUCCUACGGGAGGCAGCAGUGGGGAAUAUUGCACAAUGGGCGCAAGCCUGAUGCAGCCAUGCCGCGUGUAUGAAGAAGGCCUUCGGGUUGUAAAGUACUUUCAGCGGGGAGGAAGGGAGUAAAGUUAAUACCUUUGCUCAUUGACGUUACCCGCAGAAGAAGCACCGGCUAACUCCGUG